GACGAACCGUCCAAACGUUAUUCGGAAUCACUGGGCUUAAAGGGCGCGUAGGCGGGCUGACAAGUCCGGGGUGAAAUCCUCCAGCUUAACUGGAGAACGGCCUCGGAUACUGUUGGUCUCGAGGAAGAUAGGGGCAUGCGGAACUGGUGGUGGAGCGGUGAAAUGCGUUGAUAUCACUAGGAACUCCGGUGGCGAAGGCGGCAUGCUGGAUCUUUUCUGACGCUGAGGCGCGAAAGCCAGGGGAGCGAACGGG
rnacentral:rRNA from 1 species